rnacentral:ncRNA from 1 species
AAAGAUGGUGAACUAUGCCUGGGCAGGGAGAAGCCAGACAAAACUCUGGUGGAAGUCCAUGGCAGUGCUGAUGUGCAAACCAGUCAUCUGACCCGGGUCUAGGGAUGAAAGACUAAUCGAACCAUCUAGUAG